GCCAGUUUCAAUAGUAUCUUAGCAGUCAGCUCAAACACUUUCAUAGCAGCCAGCCUUGACUCGAUUGGCCUGUGUGAGUUUGUUUCGAAGCCGGCAAAUUCUAUGGAAUGGAUGUGAUAAAUCAGAGUCGUUCCAACACAGAGCUGCAUAGCCAAGACAUUUAGAUGGAUCUGCCCAGAAGAUAACUGCCUUCAAUUCUGUAUUCACAUGUAUUACGCUAUAGUACAGUGAAAUGUUUUUAAUUUUAUUCAGCAAUAGCAAAAAAAAAAAGAUUUUUGUAAAAAAAAAAAUGCUUAUUAAUAGCUUAAAGAAAAAAUAUCUAGCAAAAUACUAGUUUUUUUUUACAAUUAAAUGUUUUCAAGAUUUUAUGCUUCAGCGAUAGCUCUGAACCAGGGACCGAAUUCAAUGAUUAUUUCUAGGGGGUUUCAAUCGCAAAAGCACGCACAGGAAUAUUUAAAAUUUGUUCCAUGAACAUGCUUAUGCAUAUGGCUUGGGAUUUUUUUUACAAUUUGAAUUAAUAAUUGAUUUCUGUUUCGAAUGCCAGCGACUAGUUCCUUGACGAUGACUGAUCCACAGGGAUCUAUGUGAAGAUUGAUAUCAAAUAUUUUAUAGACCCUGCAAGAACCAUUUUUACCUAUCAUCGGGGCAGAAAUAGAGCCUUCUCACGCUCUCUUCAAAAAUGUUAUCUAUAAUUAAUAUUUACAAUUUGUUGAUUCAAUUUUUGGGUUUACUUAAAAAAUGGAUACCGAGGCUCUACUAUCAAAUAUUAGUCUUCUCAUAGAUGCCUAUGCCAGAGUCAUCAUCCGACGAGUACAAUGUUCCUGCUCUGUCUGGGCUUUAGUUAAAUCUUACAUCUAUUAUUAUUCCUUGAGCAAACAAAUACAAGUCAAGAAAUAAUAUUUUUAAUGUAAUUAAGUUUCUUUUACCACCUACGAGCACAUGAAUAAUUAUUGUACAUUUUUGUUUUGCCGGUGAUUAUUGAUACCCUCUUCAAGGGUACAAUUAAAAUUCGCAUCGUAAUAACGAUCGAUUAAUAUCCGAUUGCUUUCAUGAUUAAGACUAUGGAAAAUACAAAAUAUUGGUGGCUAAAUAUUACAAUUUGGAGCAGCGCAUAUCUUUGCUGCAAUACAAAAUAGAUACAUAAAAAAUGGCAUCUUGAAUGCCAUUAUCGGUCGGUCCGGUCCCUGCUCUGCAACCGUUUCAUCGAUCCUAAAUAUCUAAAUAUACAUCCAUAGAAUAUCAUCAUUUAUAUAUGGAGUCAGUAAUGCUAACUAUUAAUAGUUAAUUGUUCAAUUGCAAUGCUCAAUUCGGUUUGGGCUUAGGCUUAGGCUAAUAUUAAAUAUUAUUCGUAGCUGAGAAGCGAUUUACAAUUGUUAAAUAAAUUAUGUUUAAGUCUUAGAUCGAGUAAAUCUGUACAAUCUGCUUAUUACAAAAGAUUCGCUGGCUGCGGAGGGGGGCUGCCACGGGUCAUCGGGGCCAUGGAACCUCCUCCAAGUCUACGCUCUAUCAUACAUGUGGCUGCCCUUCACCUUAAUCUUAGGUUUUCCGGUCAUCCUUUGCCAUUCCGACCGCAGUGCCUCCGCUGCCCCCCCUGAUCCACAUCCUCCACCAGUUCCAGUUCCCUCUGACACUUCAAUCUGGCCUCGAUCGCCUCGCUGCCUCGAUCCGUACGUAAGCCGGAGGCGGACCAGCGAGAAUGGUGGCGGAGAUGGCGCGUAGGGGGGCAUGGGCAUUCCGUCUUCGUCAGCAUCGACAAUGGCAUCGACUGGAGCAUCAGGCUGAUAUUAUUGAGCUCCUCCCGCUGCCGUUGCCUCCUUGGAAUCGCCAG
rnacentral:lncRNA from 1 species